rnacentral:rRNA from 1 species
GCGGCAUAGCUGGGUAGCUAUGUUCGGAAGGGAUAACCGCUGAAAGCAUCUAAGUGGGAAGCCCACCUCAAGAUAAGAUAUCCCUCCGCUUUGCGGACUGAAGACCCCUCAGAGACUAUGAGGUUGAUAGGCCAGAUGUGUAAGUACGGUAACGUACUCAGCUUACUGGUACUAAUCGGUCGUGCGGCUUGGCCAU